UGGGGAAUAUUGCACAAUGGAGGAAACUCUGAUGCAGCGAUGCCGCGUGAGGGAAGAAGGUUUUAGGAUUGUAAACCUCUGUCUUCAGGGACGAAAAAUGACGGUACCUGAGGAGGAAGCUCCGGCUAACUACGUGCCAGCAGCCGCGGUAAUACGUAGGUGGCAAGCGUUGUCCGGAAUUACUGGGUGUAAAGGGAGCGUAGGCGGGAUGCCAAGUCAGCUGUGAAAACUAUGGGCUUAACUUGUAGACUGCAGUUGAAACUGGUAUUCUUGAGUGAAGUAGAGGUUGGCGGAAUUCCGAGUGUAGCGGUGAAAUGCGUAGAUAUUCGGAGGAACACCGGUGGCGAAGGCGGCCAACUGGGCUUUAACUGACGCUGAAGCUCGAAAGUGUGGGGAGCAAACAGGAUUAGAUACCCUGGUAGUCCACACUGUAAACGAUGAUAACUAGGUGUGGGGGGUCUGACCCCUUCCGUGCCGCAGCUAACGCAAUAAGUUAUCCACCUGGGGAGUACGACCGCAAGGUUGAAACUCAAAGGAAUUGACGGGGGCCCGCACAAGCAGUGGAGUAUGUGGUUUAAUUCGAAGCAACGCGAAGAACCUUACCUGGGCUUGACAUCCCUGGAAUCGAGUAGAGAUACUUGAGUGCCUUCGGGAAUCAGGUGACAGGUGGUGCAUGGUUGUCGUCAGCUCGUGUCGUGAGAUGUUGGGUUAAGUCCCGCAACGAGCGCAACCCCUAUUGUCAGUUGCCAUCAUUAAGUUGGGCACUCUGGCGAGACUGCCGGUGACAAAUCGGAGGAAGGUGGGGACGACGUCAAAUCAUCAUGCCCCUUAUGCCCAGGGCUACACACGUACUACAAUGGCCGAUAACAAAGUGCAGCGAAACCGUGAGGUGGAGCGAAUCACAAAACUCGGUCUCAGUUCAGAUUGCAGGCUGCAACUCGCCUGCAUGAAGUUGGAAUUGCUAGUAAUCGUGGAUCAGAAUGCCGCGGUGAAUACGUUCCC
rnacentral:rRNA from 1 species